UACGAAGGGGGCUAGCGUUGUUCGGAAUUACUGGGCGUAAAGGGCGCGUAGGCGGCUCUGAUCGUCGGAUGUGAAAUCCCUCGGCUCAACCGGGGAACUGCGUCCGAUACUGGCGAGGCUUGAAUCCGGGAGAGGGAUGUGGAAUUCCAGGUGUAGCGGUGAAAUGCGCAGAUAUCAGGAGGAACACCGGUGGCGAAGGCGGAUCUCUGGGCCUUACCUGACGCUCAGGCACGAAAGCUAGGGGAGCGAACAGG
rnacentral:rRNA from 1 species